GCCGGCCUGCCGUCUGCCAGGGUCCCACACGGCUGCCCGAGCUGCUGGGGCAGCGUACCUCCGCCUCGGCAACAGCUGAGCCUCUCUGGUCUGUUUUAAUGGACAGAGGUGAGGCUUUAAAGCCUCGAAAGCGCAGUGUACGUGCUUCAGCGUGUAAGGUGGGAACUCGAUGAAAGCACUUGCAACACGGUAAUGAUACACCUGCCUGAUCUCGAUGCUCAGAAGGCUCUGCAGAGGCAGUGCACAGUGAAGGACGGUGAUGCCGCACAGUUAUCACAGCAGAACCUUGAAGAUGGUGAGGGAAAAGAAAGAAGAAAUUGCCUAAGCACAGACAAACUGGAGAGUGCUUUCUUCCAACAACUUCAGCUCCCAAAUACUUCUGUUGCAUUUUGCUACUUUAAGCUCUGCAGUUGACUCUUUGGACUUUAAGCAGUUCCAGUCCCUCAGUCACUCAGUGUAUGACAAUAUUCAUCAAACUGGUCACACCACAUUCCAUUCCAGUGAAACAAGAACAUCACUGACAAAUGUUAUGAUAAUUCAGCUCCUGAUUCAUCAGUGUUUAGUUACAUGUUCACCUUCAAGGAAGAAGGAUCUCAUACCCAAGUGGCUUACUUAGUUGGAGUUUAGUUUGGAGCUUACCUGCUCCAAAACCCAAAAGCCAUAAACCCUAAUGCCCCUCAACUGGAGUUUCCAGUAUUUUGAAGCUGCCUAAGGGAGAUUCAAAAUUGAGACAUUCCCACCACAUCAGGGUCAGACAUUCCAUUUGGUAGAGAUACGUAGGUCUUCUCUAUUUCUCCCUUUCUUUCUCAGCAGCCUUUAGAGAAGUCAAAUAUCUUCAAGGAGCUGGGAUCCUCUCAAAACGCUGUCUCAUGGAGGAUUGUAGGCAGUGGAAAAAAUGCUCACUAUCUUUCAAUCUCCACCCCUUCUUUUUUUGCCCUUCUGCCCAAACUUCUCUGCACACACCCCUACAAUCACCAGUUCUGCCAUCCCUGUGCAGCAAGAGACUGUGUGCAGGGCUGGGAAGGGAAGACAAUGCAGAUGGGGAAACCAAAAUCAUCCUCUUCCAUGGACCCCUUUCAACUGACAAUGCAAGGAACAUCUAUCCCAUCACUUUUAGCAAGCUCAUUACUUUUAAAUGCUAUUAACUGAUCUCCACGUUGUCAGUAAAUUCUUUUAAAAUCAUGAGAAAGUACUGCUGUAUAAAGAGAAACUGUCACAGGCUUUACACACUGAUACAAUGAGUUAGGAUUGCCAUAACCUGCACAUCCCAGCCAGCAACUCCUGCUGGAGUCCGUGUGUUACCUCACACAGGGGUGUGCAUGGCACGCAAGAAGUGUCCAGCCUGAGCCCUGCUAUGCUCAUGCUGGGUUUAAAGUUAAACAUUAAUUCACUAAUUAAUUAAAUCAUUAAUUCAUUACAUUAAUUCAACCAGUUCUGGGUGUGGAGGCCCCAGGGCUGGUUAUACAGAUGCCUCAGCUCUGGAAGGACCGAGGCAGGAAAGGAGACACACCACUCUAGGUUGCAGUGAGAAGUACCUCCCUUGGACCUUUGCAGACACGUGUAAAUAGUUCUCAAGGUUCGAUGUUCUAUUGGUUCUACAAAUUGAUGUAAUCCCUGUUCUGCCCCCAUUUGCCCUUUAUGGUUAAUCCCCAGAAUGUUCUCCCUUCCCCUGAUUCCUAUUGACCCUGGUUUGGUGAAGUACUCCACCUCUGUUUCUCUGUCGAUUGUUCCUGUCCCUAACCCCGCCUCUGCACCACUUUUACCUAUUCCCAUUGAAUCAUGACCUCUGAUCCACCCCCUCUUAUCCACAUAUAAUCCUGGAUCCUCCACCCAGUUUUGUCUUUGUCCCUGGACCCUCUUCAGUAAAUAAACCCUUCCUGGAGCACCAUA